rnacentral:rRNA from 1 species
UACGGAGGGGGCUAGCGUUGUUCGGAAUUACUGGGCGUAAAGCGCACGUAGGCGGCUUUGUAAGUUAGAGGUGAAAGCCCGGAGCUCAACUCCGGAACUGCCUUUAAGACUGCAUCGCUUGAAUCAUGGAGAGGUCAGUGGAAUUCCGAGUGUAGAGGUGAAAUUCGUAGAUAUUCGGAAGAACACCAGUGGCGAAGGCGACUGACUGGACAUGUAUUGACGCUGAGGAGCGAAAGCGUGGGGAGCAAACAGG